rnacentral:rRNA from 1 species
GACGAACGCUGGCGGCGUGCUUAACACAUGCAAGUCGAACGAAGAGCGAUGGAAGCUUGCUUCUAUCAAUCUUAGUGGCGAACGGGUGAGUAACGCGUAAUCAACCUGCCCUUCAGAGGGGGACAACAGUUGGAAACGACUGCUAAUGCCGCAUACGAUCUGACCUCGGCAUCGAGGAUAGAUGAAAGGUGGCCUCUAUUUAUAAGCUAUCACUGAAGGAGGGGAUUGCGUCUGAUUAGCUAGUUGGAGGGGUAACGGCCCACCAAGGCGAUGAUCAGUAGCCGGUCUGAGAGGAUGAACGGCCACAUUGGGACUGAGACACGGCCCAGACUCCUACGGGAGGCAGCAGUGGGGAAUCUUCCGCAAUGGACGAAAGUCUGACGGAGCAACGCCGCGUGAGUGAUGACGGCCUUCGGGUUGUAAAGCUCUGUUAAUCGGGACGAAAGGCCUUCUUGCGAAUAGUUGGAAGGAUUGACGGUACCGGAAUAGAAAGCCACGGCUAACUACGUG